rnacentral:rRNA from 1 species
UACGAAGGGGGCUAGCGUUGCUCGGAAUCACUGGGCGUAAAGGGCGCGUAGGCGGCGUUUUAAGUCGGGGGUGAAAGCCUGUGGCUCAACCACAGAAUGGCCUUCGAUACUGGGACGCUUGAGUAUGGUAGAGGUUGGUGGAACUGCGAGUGUAGAGGUGAAAUUCGUAGAUAUUCGCAAGAACACCGGUGGCGAAGGCGGCCAACUGGACCAUUACUGACGCUGAGGCGCGAAAGCAUGGGGAGCGAACAGG